AUCCAGAGUGGUGUAGUGGUUUGAGCACUGGACUGGGCCUCUGGAGACCAGGGUUCAAAUCCCAGCUGGCUG